CUCGGCCUCUUCCAGCCACAUGGUGGACGGAGUGAGAGAUCCUUGAAAAUCACUGCCUGUUUUUGGGAAGGUCAGCUGCCUCACAGAAGAACAUGUCUCCCAUUUUGAAAAUUCAAGGGACACCUGGGGAGGUCGCUCUCUCACAGCUCUGUCCAUGUGGCGUACGGGAGCGUAAGCCUUUGAGCUCCAUGACGUAGAGUCCCAUUCCACACUGUUGGAGAGCAAGUUGGGCCUUCGGGUCUGCAGCCUGCAUAUUCCUACAGCUUCUCUGAGUCUUCGGACAGUGACUGAGGAGACAAACCAUGCAGGAGACAAUUGUCUUAUUUUAGUAACUCAUAGCAUGCUUUUUGAUCCUGGUGUCGUAGAAAGUGGAGUGAAUCCAUCUUCCAUCUGUUUUUCUAGAAGCUGUGGAAGCCUGUGUCAUGCUGAUGGAGUCUCCCUUAACGCCUGAAGAAUCUGUUUCAUUCUGGAAUCUCAAGUGGAUGCUCUGCUCUUGCUGUGUCAUCCUACCAGUUCCGAAUCCUGCUCUAAUUUCGUAGCCUGAGCAAUGCCAUUCUAGCGAUGCUUUUAUGUGAAGGAUUAGACUUCUGGACAUCAUGAUAGCUGCAGUUCUCCAGCUUUUCCAGAGCUCACAAGCUCCGUAAGGGUGAAGCCCUUAUUGUAAGAAAAUGGAGGACGUUGAUUUAACUUUGGUUAUGCCAGGUAUGAAGAGCAAGGGUGGUUUACUGCAAUGCAAGAAACUUUUCAGGUCAUUUUAAAGACGAAACAUCCUGGAAGGAGUUUAGAAGGCUGGCUUUUAUGAAAACAUCAAAUACUGUUUUGAUCCUGCAUCAGCGGAACUAUACAACUGAAAGUAUUAAGCAGCAAGAUGACAGAGAGCUAGCCUUAAUUGGGAAGAGGGCCUGUAAAAGAACCUGCUUAACAAGAUCUCACAGCAGCAACCAUGUUACCUAUUAAUGCUCUUACCAUGUAUGCAACCAUGAUGGUUUCCAGGGCAUUACAAGAACUCUUUGUUUUUAUGGUGGCAGAUGAACAGGUUCGUUGUGGCAUCGGCAUUUGUGAGUCGUAGCUCAUUUCAUGCAUUGCUUACCUUUAUGUGCCCCAUAAAGAUGCUUUUCACUAUAAGCCUGUUAGUUUUUAAGAUGCUGCCCGGACUGGAAAUUCCACUAUGGCAGCACCAGCAGUUACGGAGGAGGGUAACCUGAGGCCCAGGCUCAAAGUUCAAGUGUGUGUGUGUGUGUGUGCGCACGCACGCACGCACACACAUGCAUGUGCCCCUGUGCAUUCCAGAGUGGUAGUGGAGGAAGCCAGGACAGCUGGAUGCAGAAAAAACCAUUUGUGUUACUGAAAAAAGCUGGUUUUCAUGUUGGUAUAUUCUAGCUGCUUCAUGUCCAGCCAUUUCUCUCCCCACUACCCUUGCAACAAUUGUCUUUACUUCCACAGCUCCUGCUUGUACUUGGCACAUGUUGGAUAACAAUAAAGUUUAUAUUUUGUCUCUUU